rnacentral:rRNA from 1 species
AGUGAACGCUGGCGGCGUGCCUAAUACAUGCAAGUCGAACGAGUGGCGCACGGGUGAGUAAUGCCUAGGAAUCUGCCUGGUAGUGGGGGAUAACGUGCGGGAACGGGCGCUAAUACCGCAUACUAGCAGAUGAGCCUAGGUGGGAUUAGCUAGUUGGUGGGGUAAAGGCCUACCAAGGCGAAGAUCCGUAACUGGUCUGAGAGGAUGAUCAGGCACACUGGAACUGAGACACGGUCCAGCAUCCUACGGGAGGCAGCAGUGGGGAAUAUUGGACAAUGGGCGAAAGCGUGAUCCAGCCAGGGCGCGUGUGUGAAGAAGGUCUUCGGAUUGUAAAGCACUUUAAGUUGGGAGGCGUUACCAACAGAAUAAGCACCGGCUAACUUCGUGCCAGCCGCCGCGGUAAUAC